CUGUGGCCGUAUCACGUUGAAACACCGAUUCCCGUACGAUUACCAGUUAAGCAUCGUCAAACCUGGUCAGUUACUUAGAUGGGUGACCGCUUGGGAAUAGUGGAUGCUGUAAGC